GAUGAACGCUGGCGGCGUGCCUAAUACAUGCAAGUCGAGCGAACAGACGAGGAGCUUGCUCCUCUGACGUUAGCGGCGGACGGGUGAGUAACACGUGGAUAACCUACCUAUAAAACUGGGAUAACUUCGGGAAACCGGAGCUAAUACCGGAUAAUAUAUUGAACCGCAUGGUUCAAUAGUGAAAGACGGUUUUGCUGUCACUUAUAGAUGGAUCCGCGCCGCAUUAGCUAGUUGGUAAGGUAAUGGCUUACCAAGGCAACGAUGCGUAGCCGACCUGAGAGGGUGAUCGGCCACACUGGAACUGAGACACGGUCCAGACUCCUACGGGAGGCAGCAGUAGGGAAUCUUCCGCAAUGGGCGAAAGCCUGACGGAGCAACGCCGCGUGAGUGAUGAAGGUCUUCGGAUCGUAAAACUCUGUUAUUAGGGAAGAACAAAUGUGUAAGUAACUAUGCACGUCUUGACGGUACCUAAUCAGAAAGCCACGGCUAACUACGUG
rnacentral:rRNA from 1 species